GUCCAGGGAUGGGAAUCGAACCCACAGUGUUCCGCUUACCGGGCAAAUACCAUGUCCACUAGGCUACCCUGGA
rnacentral:tRNA from 1 species